rnacentral:rRNA from 1 species
UACGUAGGGUGCAAGCGUUGUCCGGAAUUACUGGGCGUAAAGAGCUCGUAGGCGGUUUGUCGCGUCGUCUGGGAAAACUCGAGGCUCAACCUCGAGCUUGCAGGCGAUACGGGCAGACUUGAGUACUGCAGGGGAGACUGGAAUUCCUGGUGUAGCGGUGAAAUGCGCAGAUAUCAGGAGGAACACCGGUGGCGAAGGCGGGUCUCUGGGCAGUAACUGACGCUGAGGAGCGAAAGCGUGGGUAGCGAACAGG